rnacentral:rRNA from 1 species
UACGUAGGGACCAAGCGUUGUUCGGAUUUACUGGGCGUAAAGGGCGCGUAGGCGGCUUAACAAGUCACUUGUGAAAUCUCCGGGCUUAACUCGGAACGGCCAAGUGAAACUGUCAAGCUAGAGUGCAGAAGGGGCAAUCGGAAUUCUUGGUGUAGCGGUGAAAUGCGUAGAUAUCUGGAGGAACACCGGUGGCGAAGGCGGCAUCCUGGACCGGUAUUGACGCUGAGGCGCGAAAGCCAGGGGAGCAAACGGG